rnacentral:sRNA from 1 species
GCUGAGCGUGGUGGUGCACACUCGUAAUCCCAGCAACUUGGGGGCUGAAGCAGGUGGAUUGCAAGUUCAAGACCAGCUUUAG